rnacentral:lncRNA from 1 species
UCAGAAGAGCCGGUAGAAUAGAAAAAAAUCACGAUUGGACAGACUUGAUUAUAAAUUCAUGACCACAAAUCAGAUGAGCCCAGCAGUGUUACUGUAUUUUUCUAAUACAGCUAAAACGUAAAAGGAAGGUGUUGAGAAGGGGGACAUACACCAGAAACAGACUACAGUAGUGAAGAAUAAGGAAGUUAGGUAUGAAAAUAAAGAGGAAAAGAUGAUUUCUCUGAGUCACAAAUGAAAAAGUGACAGUACACUUCAGAGAAAUAGACUAGAUGGAUGGAUGGAUGAUGCAGGUAAAUGAGGCUACUUGAAGAUCUAUAUAUAAUAUAGCACUGAAAUUGCUUACCAUAGUCAUUUCUUUCCUCUCUGGAUACUAGUAAUGUAAAAAACUUAACAUAUUAAAGUGUUAUUAAUUUCCAUGAUA